GCUAGCAGCCAUAUCACCCUGCAAUUCACAACUGGCAGCCCACUGGAGCUCAGCAGGUGUGAGCCUGGUCAGUACCCAGAGGGGAGACCUCCUGGGAAGAACAGGUUGCUGCUGGAA
rnacentral:rRNA from 1 species